rnacentral:rRNA from 1 species
GUGGUGGUUGGGGUAUAAAGUCUUUUGGCGGGUUGGUGGGAGUCGGGGCCCGCGGCCUUAUCAGUCUUGUUGGUGGGUAAUGGCCUACCAAGGCGACGACGGGUAGCCGGCCUGAGAGGGUGACCGGCCACACUGGGACUGAGAUACGGCCCAGACUCCUACGGGAGGCAGCAGUGGGGAAUAUUGCACAAUGGGCGCAAGCCUGAUGCAGCGACGCCGCGUGAGGGAUGACGGCCUUCGGGUUGUAAACCUCUUUCAAUAGGGACGAAGCGCAAGUGACGGUACCUAUAGAAGAAGGACCGGCCAACUACGUG